rnacentral:lncRNA from 1 species
AAUCAAGUCCCUUUUGUAUCACUCCUUCCCUGCCUUUCCUACCUAUCACUCUCGUGCUGAAAGUUGGAGCUCCUUACCCAAAGACUGGGCGGAAAGGGUGACCGCCCUGGACCCCUGCCCGACUUCCCGUUAGGCCAAGCCGCUGUCCUGAAAGGGGAUCGUGUCCAGGCCGGCUUCCUGGAGACACACCUGCGCCUGCACACACCCACCGCGGUCGCGUCACCAGUGCCGCGGCCACGUGGACGAAGACCAAAGUCUGGAGGGAAUUCCCUCAGCCACAAAGCGAUGGGAAAGCGGGACCCGGUGGAGACCAGAGUCUUGCUAUGCUUUCCAGGCUGGUUUUGAACUCCUAGCCUCAAGCGAUUUUCCUGCCUCAGCUUCCCAAAGUGCUGGGAUUACAGGCACAAGCCACUGCACCCGGCCCUGUUGUUGUUAAGAAAAUUACAAGUUAAAUCUUGUACCAGUGAACAAGAUUAGGGAUCGUGAUGUGGAGCUGCACUUCCUGGUUCCAAAUCCUGGCUCUUCCCCUCAUCCCUGGGUAAGUUGAGGGAUGAGAGCAAGAGAAGGUUGAUCCUGACUCAGAUCUCUGCAUGGGGCAUGUCACUGAUGACGGCGGCAUUCCCUGAGAGAGGGAACACUAAGUUUGAAGUUGGGCAUAGUGAGCACUAUUUUGGAUGAGUUAAGUUUAGAAGUGCCUGAAGACAUCCAAGUGGAAGAAGUGGCUGCAUGGACUGAAGAUACAGACUGGGAAACGUUAACACCAUCAAGGAACUGGAGUCCUGGGCACAGAAUAUGCUGCAAAGGGAGAAGAAGGAAGACGUGUGGUAUGGAAUCACCUAUGGAUAAGGUUGAGAACCAUGGGCUAGAUGCUAUGGAGACCAACGUAUCACUUACUAGGCUUUACUUUGUGCCAGGCACUGGAUUCGGCAUUACCCCAUUUAAGCCUCACUACCAUCCUUCAUGUUACUAUUCCACGUUGCCGCUCAGGAGAAACAAAAUUUUUUUAUUAAAUUCAAGUAACCUGAGGUCCCAUAUUUAGUAAGAGGCAGAGGAGUUAGAUGUGUCAAUAGCUAAAUUACAUGGCUGUGUCCUCUAGCUGGCCAGGGACUGACAACAUCAGUAUCACCUGGUGACUCUCCCAGGGGAGAUGUUUUUAAAAAUCUUUUCCAGUAAUUCUGUGCAACAUGGCAAUCUGAAACCAGUCUUUCAGACCUGGAAGUUCUUUAGAGACCACAGGACUCUCUUUGAUAUUUUUUCUUUUGAAUUUUUUUAAAAUACAGAAUCCUUUUUCAUGUUCUCUGUUUAUAAAACAACUGCAUGUCAAUUACAUUAUUUUUUAGAAGAUAGGUACAAGAGCCAGGCGUGGUGGCUCAUGGCUGUAAUCACAACACUUUGGGAGGUCGAGGCAGGUGGAUCAUUUGAGGCUGGAAGUUCGAGACCAGCCUGGCCAACAUGGCAAAACCUGUCUCUACUAAAAAUAUAAAAAAUUAGCCUGGAGUAGUGGUGCAUGUCCCAGCUACUCGGGAGGCUGAGGCAUGAAAAUCGCUUGAACCCGGGAGGUGCAGGUUGCAGUGAGCCAAGAUCGCACCACUGCACUCCAGCCUGGGCAAC